AACAGGGAUUGCCUUAGUAACGGCGAGUGAAGCGGCAACAGCUCAAAUUUGAAAGCUGGCCCUUUUAGGGUCCGCAUUGUAAUUUGUAGAGGAUGAUUCGGCGAGGGCUCCUGCCUAAGUCCCCUGGAACGGGGCGUCAUAGAGGGUGAGAAUCCCGUAUGCGGUAGGUUGCCUUAGCCAUGUGAAUCUCCUUCGACGAGUCGAGUUGUUUGGGAAUGCAGCUCUAAAUGGGAGGUAAAUUUCUUCUAAAGCUAAAUACCGGCCAGAGACCGAUAGCGCACAAGUAGAGUGAUCGAAAGAUGAAAAGCACUUUGGAAAGAGAGUUAAAAAGUACGUGAAAUUGUUGAAAGGGAAGCGCUUGCAACCAGACUUGUCCGCAGUUGCUCAGCCGGUCUCCUGACCGGCGUACUCUUCUGCGGCCAGGCCAGCAUCAGUUCGGGCGGUCGGAUAAAGGCCUCGGGAAUGUGGCUCCUCUCGGGGAGUGUUAUAGCCCGGGGUGCAAUGCGGCCAGCCUGGACUGAGGAACUCGCUUCGGCAAGGAUGCUGGCGUAAUGGUUGUAAGCGGCCCGUCUUGAAACACGGACCAAGGAGUCUAACAUCUAUGCGAGUGUUCGGGUGUCAAACCCGUACGCGUAAUGAAAGUGAACGGAGGUGGGAACCCGCAAGGGUGCACCAUCGGCCGAUCCUGAUGUCUUCGGAUGGAUUUGAGCAAGAGCAUAGCUGUUGGGACCCGAAAGAUGGUGAACUAUGCCUGAAUAGGGUGAAGCCAGAGGAAACUCUGGUGGAGGCUCGCAGCGGUUCUGACGUGCAAAUCGAUCGUCAAAUUUGGGUAUAGGGGCGAAAGACUAAUCGAACCAUCUAGUAGCU
rnacentral:rRNA from 2 species